UACGGAGGGUGCAAGCGUUUAAUCGGAAUUACUGGGCGUAAAGCGUGCGUAGGCGGUUCGUUAAGUCUGUUGUGAAAGCCCCGGGCUCAACCCUGGGAAUGGCAAUGGAUACUGGCGAGCUAGAGUGUGUCAGAGGAUGGUGGAAUUCCCGGUGUAGCGGUGAAAUGCGUAGAGAUCGGGAGGAACAUCAGUGGCGAAGGCGACUUCCUGGCCUGUUCUUGACGCUGAGGCGCGAAAGCUAGGGGAGCAAACGGG
rnacentral:rRNA from 1 species